UGAACGCUGGCGGCGUGCCUAAUACAUGCAAGUCGAACGAGUUCUGAUUAUUGAAAGGUGCUUGCAUCUUGAUUUAAUUUUGAACGAGUGGCGGACGGGUGAGUAACACGUGGGUAACCUGCCCUUAAGUGGGGGAUAACAUUUGGAAACAGAUGCUAAUACCGCAUAAAUCCAAGAACCGCAUGGUUCUUGGCUGAAAGAUGGCGUAAGCUAUCGCUUUUGGAUGGACCCGCGGCGUAUUAGCUAGUUGGUGAGGUAACGGCUCACCAAGGCAAUGAUACGUAGCCGAACUGAGAGGUUGAUCGGCCACAUUGGGACUGAGACACGGCCCAAACUCCUACGGGAGGCAGCAGUAGGGAAUCUUCCACAAUGGACGCAAGUCUGAUGGAGCAACGCCGCGUGAGUGAAGAAGGCUUUCGGGUCGUAAAACUCUGUUGUUGGAGAAGAAUGGUCGGCAGAGUAACUGUUGUCGGCGUGACGGUAUCCAACCAGAAAGCCACGGCUAACUACGUGCCAGCAGCCGCGGUAAUACGUAGGUGGCAAGCGUUAUCCGGAUUUAUUGGGCGUAAAGCGAGCGCAGGCGGUUUUUUAAGUCUGAUGUGAAAGCCCUCGGCUUAACCGAGGAAGUGCAUCGGAAACUGGGAAACUUGAGUGCAGAAGAGGACAGCGGAACUCCAUGUGUAGCGGCGAAAUGCGUAGAUAUAUGGAAGAACACCAGUGGCGAAGGCGGCUGUCUGGUCUGUAACUGACGCUGAGGCUCGAAAGCAUGGGUAGCGAACAGGAUUAGAUACCCUGGUAGUCCAUGCCGUAAACGAUGAAUGCUAGGUGUUGGAGGGUUUCCGCCCUUCAGUGCCGCAGCUAACGCAUUAAGCAUUCCGCCUGGGGAGUACGACCGCAAGGUUGAAACUCAAAGGAAUUGACGGGGGCCCGCACAAGCGGUGGAGCAUGUGGUUUAAUUCGAAGCAACGCGAAGAACCUUACCAGGUCUUGACAUCUUUUGAUCACCUGAGAGAUCAGGUUUCCCCUUCGGGGGCAAAAUGACAGGUGGUGCAUGGUUGUCGUCAGCUCGUGUCGUGAGAUGUUGGGUUAAGUCCCGCAACGAGCGCAACCCUUAUGACUAGUUGCCAGCAUUUAGUUGGGCACUCUAGUAAGACUGCCGGUGACAAACCGGAGGAAGGUGGGGAUGACGUCAAAUCAUCAUGCCCCUUAUGACCUGGGCUACACACGUGCUACAAUGGAUGGUACAACGAGUUGCGAGACCGCGAGGUCAAGCUAAUCUCUUAAAGCCAUUCUCAGUUCGGACUGUAGGCUGCAACUCGCCUACACGAAGUCGGAAUCGCUAGUAAUCGCGGAUCAGCACGCCGCGGUGAAUACGUUCCCGGGCCUUGUACACACCGCCCGUCACACCAUGAGAGUUUGUAACACCCGAAGCCGGUGGCGUAACCCUUUUAGGGAGCGAGCCGUCUAAGGUGGGACAAAUGA
rnacentral:rRNA from 1 species